GACAUACGGUGGGACUGGAGCAGCUGAUUUACAUCCCACAUGUGUGGGGAGGAAGAGCGUUUCUGCUCGUUUUUGUCUUAUUUUUCCAUCUGAACCUCUGACUCAGUGCGGAAGCCCGGGCGUCUGUGUCGGUCCGGGCGUGGACGAGAAUAUCCGGAUCCCCUCGCGUGCAUUGCAGGGGCAGGUGGCGUGUGUGUAGGUUUUGUGGUGAUUCUCCUGUGGAACUGUGGAUUACGUGGAACUCCUGGUCACAGACGGUUUGACAGAAGAUUACGUCCAAACAGCCAAACUUCAGUGCUGAGGUUCCAGAAACUUUGAGAAGCUUUCUUUCUCUUCUUUCUCUUGCUGUUUGCUUGUGAUCAUAAGAGUUAAUCCCAGUAUGUAUGUAUUUUGGUGCAUCUGGGGUAAGUUUUUUGAAGCUGGAAAAGUAUUAGAACUGUGUUGCUAAUGCAUUUUGUGAGGUUGUCGGGAGGAUGUUGGGUCUGUGCACAGCCAAAAGCAACAGCUGUACCCAAAUAUUCUGCACACAGAAAAGGAAGGGAGGCUGAACGAAGUGGUGCUGAAACCUUUUCAGACUGCUGGGCUGCAAUAACUGAUUCUGCAAAGGCAUUUUAUCGAGUCUGCAAUGACCUUAGAAUUAAAAAAUCCAU